GAUUAACUAGCUCUCUUUGUUAUCCAUUGUUUAUUUAUCUUAAAUUCAGUAAUUUAGUUGCUUAUAAGGAUUGAUUAAUUUGAUCUCUGUUUUUAGUUGCUUAUAAGGAUUGAUUAAACUAAGAAUGAAUCAUGCACAUAAAGUGUUUGAUCUGAGAGUUGUUUAAAAAAUUAACUCACUAUGAUUAAAUGAGUAAUCAUUAGAAUUGUGCAAGUUGCUUUAGUUAUCUUUUCAAUCAAGUGUAUGAAAUCAGUGUGAUAUAUUCCAAGGUAUGAUGCCCACCAUUCUGGAUCCUCGGUUAAUCUUUUUGGACUUUUAGGGCCAUAGAAUCCUUCAAGACCCACAGUUAGUAGGUGCUUUCUUUCAAUUGCUUUCAAAAAGGUUGACAUCUCUUGUAACCAGUCCUGCACUUAUACUACAAACAAUCAAUUCAUACUCUGACAAAAAAGAACUCAAUGACAGUCCGUUAGUUGCAACAGUGAGAAUAAGCAAUAACCAGAAAGAAAAAAAAAGAUUGUCUGUUUAUAGCACAUUAUUUGGUAGUGUUUGAAAGAGAAGAAACAAUAGCACAGUAUAGUGCUUGCCCAAAAAAGAAAAAGAAAAAAAGAGGUUGUUGCAUUGACUGUUGAGUGAUUUGUAAUGUGCAACGCAAUUGCAUUUGGAGUUGCUUUUGACAAACAAGUUCUCCAUAACUCAGCAGCUUUAUGGUUAAAAACAUAGCAAGAAACAAGAACUAUAUGAAUCUCUAUAUCGAACAAAUCUUGGUGAUUUAGAGCAAAAAGAUUGGAUUUUUAACUGAAAAAAUGAGGGAUUGAAUAGGAGAUGGGUGAAAAAAAGGAGAAGAAGUGGGAGAAAAGUAUGAAAAAUGGAAUCUUAAGAGAGAGAAAGGGAGGGUCAAACAACGUUUGGCUUAUUUGUUAAGACAACUUACAAGUUGUAUCUACUGCAAAUGUACAUGUUAAUUAAGUGUACAUUAUUAAUGUGUGUUGGUGUUUGCUUUGCUGUUAAAUGUGGUAAGAACCCAAAGCAAGACAGUUGGGUACUUCUAGUGCUAAUUAUGAGUAACCUUUCAAUAAGAAAGUAUUAGUACUCGUUUUUAGUCGAAAUUCUCGCUGUCAAGAACUCUUUGUUUUCUAGAAGAUGGACAGAGUUUGCUAUGAAAUGCUUCUGGUAUAUAAGCUUGUGACAUUAGUGCUGAUGUGUUAAUUUUUUUGAUAAUUUAGAAAUGAUUGAAAUUAUAUUUUCGUUAACUUGGUGUAAAUAAUUGUAUAUGUUCUGCAAUUAUAAAUAAUUGCACUAAUAGAGUACUGCAGCUGCUUGGGGUUGGUUUGUAUUGUUAUUUCAUCUGGUCUAGCUAUUCUUAUAUUCUUUUUAAGUGUGAGCACAAGUAUGAAUGAAAUAGUAUAUAAGUUACAGGAGAAGAACCAUAUUUGUGGUAUGACUAGAGAUUGUGUCAAUGAUCCCCUUUUCUGAAGAAGGCUGAUAUAGGAAUAGCAAUUGCUGAUGCACCAGCAGCGCAAUAGGAAUUUGGGCAAAAACAAUCUCACUGGACUGAUACCCGCGGAGUUCAGUAAUCUAAGAAUUGUUAUGGAGAUUUGAUUCCAUUGGGAACUGGUUCUGACUUUGCAAGGACGCUAAAUUGGAAAAACAAUCCUGAGGAUGCCAUUGAACGCAUAGCAAAAGGACAAAGGUCUCGGAUUGACAUUGGAGUUAUCAGGGGAGAAGAUGGUGAAUAUCACUAUUUCAAUAAUGUUGCAGACAUCCAUUUGUAAGGACACCUUUUUGAAGGAAAUCACUGGUAACCAAGGUCAUGAAAAACACAUAGAUUUGGGAACCUAUGUUAUGUUAUUGGUGCAUUGCAAGCCUUUUUUGGGCAUCAGAACCAGGAUCUUAAGAUUAAGGUCAAUGAGGGUGAGUGGGAAAUAUAUUCUCAAGUUACAGCUUUGUCCUUUGUGUAUCGGAAAUGCUAAAUUCUUUGGCGGUAGAAUGAAGAUCACUCCUAAUGCUGACCCAAGAAGCGGAAAUUUUGAGGUUGUGACUCUUCAGGACUUCAGAUGUUAUCACUUCAUCCGUUAUUUGCACAGGUUGUAUAAUGGUACACAUUUAUCAGUAAAGAACGUGUCUUCAGUAAGGUAUUUCUUUCUUCCAGUGUAUCUUGUUCAUUUGUAUUGAAUGGAGUAUAUCUUUCCAUCGAUAUGUUUUCCUGCUUGCUUGGUUUAGUAACUUGUAUGGACUUGUCUUCAGCACAGUCUCAUGAAAUUAAAGAUUAUUAAUUUUUAAGCAUGUAAAAUUAUCGUUUAUUUAAUGCUUCGAUGAAAAAUUAAAUGGAAACAAAGUGCACUAUUAGGACUGUAACUGGCUGAAUUUAUUGGAAAAGAUGCAACUUGGUUAUGAUGAAUGAAAAUAAAUACCA